UACAGAGGGGGCAAGCGUUAUUCGGAAUUAUUGGGCGUAAAGGGCGCGUAGGCGGCUUGGCAAGUGGAUGGUGAAAUCCCUCGGCUUAACCGAGGAACUGCCAUCCAGACUGCUUGGCUUGAGACCGGGAGAGGUGAGUGGAAUUCCCAGUGUAGCGGUGAAAUGCGUAGAUAUUGGGAGGAACACCAGUGGCGAAGGCGCUCUGCUAGGCCGUAACUGACACUGAGGGACGAAAGCUAGGGGAGCGAAUGGG
rnacentral:rRNA from 1 species